rnacentral:lncRNA from 1 species
GUCCGGCACACAAAAGGCUCUUAGUAAAUAUUAAUUGAUGAAUGGAGCACUUGUGCUAGUUUGUUUACAUGAAAUAAUCUAUUUAGAAUGUUGUUAAGACGUUUACAAGUACAGUUGUGAUAAUUCAUACUUCUGGGUUGUGAUAAUACUGAUGUGCAUGUAAUUAUACCCACUGAAAAAUGAAGAAAGGAAGUAGAAAUCCAAAAAAGUGGAACUGAAGCAAUAGAAAUUAAUAGGCACUCUAGAUCCUUUGGCAAGGAUGGAGGAAUACUGGUUAAUCAGUUCUAAAAACAAAUGAAUUAAAUAGAUAAUGGGCAGUCACUGUCAAGAUCUGCAAAGAGUCUAAGAUUUUACUUUGCUUGCCAGCCACAAUUACAUGGAUACUGGCAGAAGACACAAGACUCCUGGGUCAGAGACAAAAGAGCUUGUUAUUUGCAGCACAGUAGGAGGUGUGAACUUCAUGUGUCUAUAUCCCUUGCCUGCAAGUCCUGUGUGGGCACUGUGGAGUAGCCUCGGUAGGUUUUAUGCAUGCAGCAGGUUUAUGUUACAGCUGAGGGUCCCCAAAUUUAAGAAACCUCCAAUAUUACCAAGGGGCUACUGGCAAAUCUGCCCAAACUUUGCUUUAGAAGGAGGCAUUACCUUUAUUCCCCAGGACUGGAAACAAAUCUGCUUUUUGCCCCAGAGGAAGAAAAUCUACUUUUCAAGGCUGAAUGCAAACAUCCUUGAGAAGAUAGUCAGGGACAAAACCUGUCACUAGACAUGUAGAAAUGCCAUGGAGAGCUGUCACCUCCCACUCAGAGUCACCACGAUGCACUGAACUGUUAAUGCUUUUAGAAUGAGCUUCACAUCAGCUCCGUUUCUACCCUUGGAAGUCUGAGGUAACGUUUUCUUGCAUACUCAUUUACAUGCAAGGCAGAUGGGAUAAAGAGAAAAUGUAGAAACAUGCCUGGGUCUUUCUGUAUUUGAAUUAUUCUCCUAUAUGUAUAGAGAGAACUUUCUGGCAAACAUUCAACAAUGCAUUUCUCUGGGAAUGGCACCAGCCACCAAACCGUGUCCUGCUGAUUCCAUCUUCCAAGUGUUUCUUGAUUUCAUCCAUUCGUCUUCACCUCCAUUGCUGCCAUCUUGUUUCAGGCUGCAUUUUCUCUCCCGGGGGUUAGAGCAGUGGCUUCCUGAGGGGUUCUCCCUUUGCAGCCACUGCCUAAUUAGCCCCUGCAAGCCCAGUUUCCUCACCUCUAAAAUGGACAAAUCAACCUUCCUACCCCACAGAAUCUUAGGGGUAAUGACAUGGAAUGGGGCAAGUCAGCCUGACAAGUCCUGAGGCCCAACUAAUGCCAGCUGUCAUGAUUUACUACCUCUGUACGCACAGGCCCCGAAUUUCUACUCUCUAACUUUGAUUUCUUACAACUAACAUGUACUCUGAGGCAAAAAUCUUCAAAGUGAAAUCACUCCUUAUGAAUGGAAUCAAGUAGAGCCAAAGCAUUUUGGGCUGAAAGCUCCUAAGCAAGGAAAAGGUUUUGAAAUUGGAAGAAAGAAUAAAAUAGAUCAGUUGAUGCUUAUCCUUCGAGGAAAUAGAAUUUGAACUAUUUUCCUAUUGUAAAACUACUCCAUCUCACUGGGAAUGUACAUUUGCUAAGCGCAUCAGAAUUUUAAAAAAAGAUCUGAAAGCUCUUCUCUAUUCUGUGAUUAAUUGAACACGCUUGGGCCAAUACAGGAGGAAUAAAAUUACCACAUCACUAUAUGUAUGUGAGAUAAAAUAUACGAUUAAAAAUAUUUAUUAUACUGAUGUGGAAAAGAAUAAUAUGUUAAACAGAUAAGCAUGUAAUAAUGCAUAUUUUCCCCAUAAAAUUUAAUUUAUCGCUUGGGCCGGGCAUAAACUUUCCUCUUGAACAACUUGCUUUCCAACUAUAGAUUGCUGAGCUAAACUGCUUAGUUUUACAGCAAAUUGAUCACUACUGUAAUAUUUCAGGAGCAAAAUGAUCCUCACCAGUCAGUUUGAUUUCAAAGGCCAAAAUUUAUGGUUUUGUUCCUGAUUUAGUGAUAAGAUUUUUUAACAUAUUGAGCAUUUUAUCACCCUCUAUCAGGACAUGGAGUUGAACUUACAAAUGAAAAAAAAAAAAAACCAACAAAAAGGGACCAUAAAUAAUAUACUACAGAAUGACAGAAAAGUUUAAUAUUCCCUUUGGAUCAGUGGGAAAUUACUCAGAUUUCUGUCCUUGUAAACAUAUGCCCUGGUCUCUAUGGAAAACAUGUUAUACAAUCUCGAUGCUCCGGAAAAGCAGUCAUAGACAAAGCUGGAACUCUAAACCACAAGGACCCUGCUAAAGCAUAAAGGAAACUUUAUUACAUGUAUGCUCCCCCGUGUCUCGACUUUAUUCAAUGUCGAUAAAACGUAGUUAUUGGACACUUCUGAUAUGUUGAAAAUAGGUGCAGACAUUUAAUGAUGGGAAAGUUCAUGACUCAGUAAAGAUUACUCCCUUGAUGGUAGCUUAGGACAGAAACCUAUAAAAUCAAAUUAUGAUAAUCAUUGAAGUCAGGAGAAAAAAGGAGGCCCACUGAGCUCUAUUUACCGAAUUUUUGACUUCAUUAUAUCCCAUCUACCUUGCAGGCACAGGGACCAGAUUUUUGAGAAGCUCAAUAGAUCUGCAAAGUAAAACUUUUUGUAAUUACUACAGUGACUUUUGCAGGAAAGACUUAAGUUUGUAAGGGAAUAGACUGGUGCCAGAUGAAACACGCAAUAAUAGAGAAGAAAAACAAUCUUCUUGUACUACAAUCUAUUCACAGGUAUCACAAAUUUACCUUUUGAAGAGUUAGUUUGACAUUAAACCAGGGAAAAUAGGUGUGGUUGUCUUGGCUUUUACCACUAACAAUAUUUUUUUCUAACAACAUUUCCAUCACAUAACAGUGUCUACCUGUCCUGUCUAAGAGUUAAACCAUUGGUCUGGGGCUUAAAUAGGACUUGGAGCUGCAAUGGUCUAUUUUAUCACAUGUAACUUACGUGUUGAGUCAGCAAGGACAAACACGUUUCUAGGAGACAUCAAAUCUAGACAGCUGGGGUCUGCAAGUUCUUUAUUUUUUAACCUUCACUCAGACCUGUGUUCUAGGGAGAGGGCUGACAUUUUCUACUUGUAACAUGAAGAAUAUCUAUGCGUUGGAUGGUGCCCUUGGCUGAAAAAUCUCGAUGGUUUUAUAUGGAAUAUCAGGCCUUGCUUUGUCAAAUUAUAUGGCUGAAAGCAUUAAGAAGAUUACUUCUUUUUGGUAUGUUUGUUUAUAUUUACAGAGUUCUUACUAUGUGCUUAGUUUUUGGAUUUGCUAAACUUUUUUUUUUUAAAUCAUUCUGUCAUUAAGGUAUUGCUGCAAAAGCGCAGCAACAUACCACGUAUUUAUUACUCUUGCUUGAGGCUGCCCAGCUAAAUGGUCUUUGUCUGGAUUGCUCACAUAGCUGGGUGUCAGCAGGGGCCACUGGGUGACGGAUGACUUGUUUCUGUCCCACGCCUUGCAUCCUCUGGCAGGCUGGCCUAGGCGUGUUCUCAUGAUCACAAGGCCAAGCAGGAUAUACAAGGUACAUUAUCACUUCCAUCACAUUCUAUCAGCUAACGCAGGUCACAAAGUCAGCCCAGAUAUAAGGGAUUCUUCCUCUUUAGUGAGAAACACUGUAAAGUGGUCUGGCAAAGAGUGUAGAUACAGACAUGAAGAAGAAUUGGGGCCUAUAAUUGAAUCUACCAUAUAGCUCAUUAAUUCAUCAGGCUAUGAGGUAGGUAUUGUUAUUAUUCCCCAUUUGACAACAGAGGAAAUUAAUGCAUGGGGUGCUUUAGUAAACAAUAAAAAGUCCCCAGCUGGACAUGGAGACAGUCUGCGCUCUUGCUGCUGUACUAGACAGUCUGAUUGCAACACAUGCAAGACGUGUAGUUCAUCGACUUAGGCUUUUGCAAAUCUCACACCCCUAUGGAGGAGUGAGUAUAAACUUUAGUUUGCAGAGUAACCUGCACAAGAGAACAGUAUUCUCUAAACUUCAGUCUAAUUGUUAACUUGGAGCUCCCAUUCUGCUGAGCUGGCAGAAAAAUGAAACCAAGUUCUUCCUGGAGAUGCCCUUCUGUCAUGACAUUUGUCAUUGGUUCUGGCUGCUGAGCCUGUGUUCCCUCAAGUCUAAGGAGCCCUCCUGUUUAGAAAGCUGAGCUCACCUCCCAUUUCUGAUGAUGGAAUAGCACCAGAAAUGUGUUCUCCCAGCCUCCUUGGAAGUUCCAGAUUCUCUUGAGAAGCUUGUGACAGGAAAAAGCAGAGAUUACACAGAAUCCAUUCUGGCAAUAGACGGUAGCAAUUGAAGUGGUCACAUCGGGCCAGAGGGAGCUGUUCUGAGGUGGGUGUCUGUGCCCAAUGCUGGCCAUGGGGAUGUCAUCUUGGGACCAGCCUCACAGCUCAGUUUUGGGCAUUGUUCUGCCUGCAAAGCUGUCCUUCAGAGCUCCUGGGAGAUUCUGUGAGCUACUAAACAGAAUUUUAAAACUUCCUCUUUCUCCUACUGAACUUAAUUAGAAUUAGCUUUUGUUGCUUGCAACCAAGAGUCCUGAUGGUUCCUGGUUUGUGCCAUAGUUCUGGGGCCUUGCACUGGACAUCAGAGGUAGGUCCCUUGAUUUACUGCUGGUUUGGAUCACGUAGGUUCCUGCAGGCAUGUCCACUGCCCAAUGUGCCUGACAAGGCCAGUAGCUUCCCGCCACCUCUCUGGCAUGUUUGAAAAGAAGAGAUAUUGGGGAAGAUGCUUACGGCCCCAUCUGCCUGGACGUGCUGUGUGGUCAUUCGAUUUUCAGCACUUGCUGCCUCUCUACUGGGGCUGUACGGAGUUAAGUCCAGGCCUUCCACCUCUGAGCCCAUGUGCCACCUUCCUUUUCUUCUUUGCUUAAAGUCAUCUUCUCCAGCUUGGAAGGAUUCUUCUUCUCUUCCGGGGAAAGCCACUUUUCCUACACAUUUUGUCCAAUACCCUUUGGGUCUGUUUUCAAACCUUCUCUCUCCCUCUCUUUUAAAAGCCACAUUUGUUAAUCACAGAGUUUGGGGGGAAAGAUAACCAAAAAGCCUCCAGACCAACGCGUAUUCUGCCCUGAGCUACCGAACGCAGAUCUGAAAACCCGAUGUGGGGUGGGGCACGUGGGGAGAAAACUCUCCUUUUCCAUAGGGACUAUCUUCCAGGAGGAGUGGACAGAGGGUCCCUGUGGCAGAACAGCAUCCGAACUGCCCGGCAUCGGUUUGGCCUACAUUCCUCCUCCUGCUCCACAGAACCGAGGUUCGUGCUGAACCAAACUGGCACCGGCAAAGCCCAUUAGCAAUUCCCAGGGAAUAAAAAUGGAAUCUGGGUAAUAAAAAUCUAACCUUUUUGGUUUCCUUUUCCUCCACGCCUCCACUGGUGUCACUGGCUCAGGGGCUGCCGCGUGCAGGGGCCUCGCACCCCGCCCUUCGCAGACGGGAGGUCCCAGCGCGAGGUUGUGGUGUCCGCCCUCGGCUGCGGGGCGUGUGCAGAGAGGCGGCUCACGACACUCAACUCAAGAUGGCGGCGGCCGCCGUGUGCACAGAGGCUGCGCGGCACUGCGGCCUCCAGCCCCCGGCUGCCGGGCGGCGCCCUCGCGAGAACUCUGCCUCCACGCCGCCGCAGUAACGAGAUCGCGCUGAAUCAACUUCGUGGGCAGCCAGCCCCGGAGCGCGUGCUCUGCAGCCCAAGCGCGCACCUCUCUGUUCUUGGCUGUAAGAAUGAGGCUUUCCUUUGCUUUUGAGCCCAGCUCUUUCUUUUGGUGCCAGUGACAGUGGGCAUGAGGACCUUUGUUGGGGAACCGACUCCUGAGGGUCCUAACAAAACCAGGUAACACUCCUCCAAUAUCUGCUUGCGUCCAUAUCGUUGCGCAGUUAUUUUCUGUCUGACGUUUUCUUAAUUCUUGGAGACCCUGACGUGUCCCUGCUUUCCUAAUUCUUGGAGACCACAUCCUCGCAAUCCUCGGGAAGAAGUGGAGAUGGUGUGGGGAAGACAGUCGGUCUUUGGUGACAUAUUGUAACUAGACUUACCUUGGAGAUCUCUUUGAAAUGGGUAGACACAUCCAAUAACUCUGUUGGUGUUAACUGGUACUAACAUGGUGUAGUUGGUCAACUAUACUUCAAAAACGAACAAACUCAUGGAAAAAGAGAUCAAGAAUUCCCGUUGUGGCUCCGUAUGUGGGUUUGAUCCCUGGCCUUGCUCAGUGGCUUAAGGAUACAGUGUUGCCCCAAUGUGUGUGGUGUAGGUUGCAGAUGCAGCCCAGAUCUGGAGUUGCUGUGACUGACGUAGGCCUACAGUUGCAGCUCCAGCUCAGCUCCUAGCCACAGGAGCAGCCAUUAAAAAAAAAAAAAAAAAAAAAAAAAAG